rnacentral:rRNA from 1 species
AUUGAACGCUGGCGGCAUGCCUUACACAUGCAAGUCGAACGGUAACAGGUCUUCGGAUGCUGACGAGUGGCGAACGGGUGAGUAAUACAUCGGAACGUGCCUAGUAGUGGGGGAUAACUACUCGAAAGAGUGGCUAAUACCGCAUGAGAUCUACGGAUGAAAGCGGGGGAUCGCAAGACCUUGUGCUACUAGAGCGGCCGAUGGCAGAUUAGGUAGUUGGUGGGAUAAAAGCUUACCAAGCCGACGAUCUGUAGCUGGUCUGAGAGGACGAUCAGCAACACUGGGACUGAGACACGGCCCAGACUCCUACGGGAGGCAGCAGUAAGGAAUAUUGGGCAAUGGACGCAAGUUUGACCCAGCCAUGCCGCGUGAAGGAUUAAGGUCCUCUGGAUUGUAAACUUCUUUUCUCUGGGGCGAAAACCAGCUAUUCUUAGCUGCUUGACAGUACCAGAGGAAUAAGCACCGGCUAACUCCGUGCCAGCCGCCGCCGUAA